GAUCCCUUCAGAGUUUGGGUAAAGCAUUAUUGCUUACGGCCAAAAGAAAAAUGGGUUCCUGUGCUGCAUACCCACGAUAGGGGAAUUCGAAUAUGUUGCUGUCCCGAUAUCCGCCUUUGUGCCCCUUAUGGGGCAUGCGGUGGACAACGAAGUGCUUCCUGUGGUGCUGACAUGUCAAUACCGACUGUUCAGAGGAAUGGGAUGUCACUCGUGCUCUAGGAUGCGGAAAUUUAUGCGUGGCAAAGGGAUCAUGUCCCUUGAUUCGCCCGAUGUCCCUAUUGCAUACACGACUUAGAUGCUCGUUUUGAGGCCACGGCAUGCUGCAACGUCAGUUGCCUUGGGCUCGUGCUUGCAUUGAAGUCCUGAAGGAAUGC
rnacentral:misc_RNA from 1 species